rnacentral:rRNA from 1 species
CCCCAAGCUUAGCAGCACUCGCCGUCACCCGGGGCCGAGGGAGACGANCUCCGCGGCCUCUCUACCCCGGAACCGUCCNNUCGCCUNNNNNCCGGGGGGGCGGGCGCGGGGCGGGGAAGGGGACGGGGNNNCCCGCUCCCGGCGCGGCUGUCAACCGGGGCGGACUGCCUCAGUGCGCCCCAGCCGCGCCGNGCCGCCGAGGCGGGAGGGCCGCCGGGAGCCGCCAGGGGUCCGCGGCGAUGUCGUGUCCCACCCACCGUCUUAAACACGGACCAAGGAGUCUAACGCGCGCGCAUGCGAGGGACUCUGCGCGAAACCCUGUGGCGCAAUGAAGGUGAGGGCCGGGGCGCCCCGGCUGAGGUGGGAUCCGGCGCGCCCCCUUCGCAGGGGGGGGUCCCCGGCGGGGCGNACCACGGCCCGUCUCGCCGCACCGUCGGGGAGGUGGAGCGUGAGCGCGCGCGAUAGGACCCGAAAGAUGGUGAACUAUGCCUGGGCAGGCGAAGCCAGAGGAAACUCUGGUGGAGGUCCGAUAGCGGUCCUGACGUGCAAAUCGGUCAGUCCGACCUGGUAUAGGNAAGACUAAUCGAACCAUCUAGUAGCUGGUUCCCUCCGAAGUUUCCCUCAGGAUACUGGCGCUGCGUCUCGUCGCAGUUUUAUCCGGUAAAGCGAAUGAUUAGAGGUCUUGGGGCCGAAACGAUCUCAACCUAUUCUCAAACUUUAAAUGGGUAAGAAGCCCGGCUCGCUGGCUUGGAGCCGGGGCGUGGAAUGCGAGCACGCCUAGUGGGCCACUUUUGGUAAGCAGAACUGGCGCUGCGGGAUGAACCGAACGCCGGGUUAAGGCGCCCGAUGCCGACGCUCAUCAGACCCCAGAAAAGGUGUUGGUUGAUAUAGACAGCAGGACGGUGGCCAUGGAAGUCG